GUGGGGAAUCUUAGACAAUGGGCGCAAGCCUGAUCUAGCCAUGACGCGUGAUCGAUGAAGGCCUUAGGGUUGUAAAGAUCUUUCAGUGGGGAAGAUAAUGACUGUACCCACAGAAGAAGCCCCGGCUAACUCCGUGCCAGCAGCCGCGGUAAUACGGAGGGGGCUAGCGUUGUUCGGAAUUACUGGGCGUAAAGCGCACGUAGGCGGAACAGAAAGUCAGAGGUGAAAUCCCAGGGCUCAACCUUGGAAUUGCCUUUGAUACUGGCUGUCUUGAGUUUGGGAGAGGUGAGUGGAACUCCGAGUGUAGAGGUGAAAUUCGUAGAUAUUCGGAAGAACACCAGUGGCGAAGGCGGCUCACUGGCUCGAUACUGACGCUGAGGUGCGAAAGCGUGGGGAGCAAACAGGAUUAGAAACCCGUGUAGUCC
rnacentral:rRNA from 1 species